rnacentral:rRNA from 1 species
UGCGUAGGCGGCGCGGAAAGUAGGGUGUGAAAUCCCUCGGCUCAACCGAGGAAUUGCGCUCUAAACUACCGUGCUCGAGGGAGAUAGAGGUGAGCGGAACUUAGGGUGGAGCGGUGAAAUGCGUUGAUAUCCUAAGGAACACCGGUGGCGAAAGCGGCUCACUGGAUCUCUUCUGACGCUGAGGCACGAAAGCUAGGGUAGCGAACG